AUUGAACGCUGGCGGCGUGCCUAACACAUGCAAGUCGAACGGUGAAGGUGAGCUUGCUCACUGGAACAGUGGCGCACGGGUGAGUAACGCGUGGAUGAUCUACCCAUCAGUUUGGGACAACAGUUGGAAACGACUGCUAAUACCGGAUACGGUACCAUUUCGAAGUUGGUAUUAAAGGCGGCCUCUGCUUGCAAGCUGUCGCUGAUGGAUGAGUCCGCGUCUCAUUAGGUAGACGGUGGGGUAACGGCCUACCGUGCCGACGAUGAGUAGCCGACCUGAGAGGGUAAUCGGCCACACUGGGACUGGAACACGGCCCAGACUCCUACGGGAGGCAGCAGUGGGGAAUAUUGCGCAAUGGGCGAAAGCCUGACGCAGCGACGCCGCGUGAGGGAAGACGGUCUUCGGAUUGUAAACCUCUGUCUUCGGUGACGAAACAAGACGGUAGCCGAGGAGGAAGCCACGGCUAACUACGUGCCAGCCGCCGCGGUAAUAC
rnacentral:rRNA from 1 species